rnacentral:lncRNA from 1 species
UCACUCUCUCUUCUUCCUACACGUACGGACGUCACCCAAAACCCUUUCAAACUUCACAGAUCGACAUCUAAGAGGUAAGAUUCUUGUUCCUUGUAAGCUUCUGAGUUCAUUGGUACCAUUUUUGAGAAUGGAAAGCUUCGAAAACCCGAGAAACCCUAACCUCGACUUUGUGCACUAUUCAUGCACAUGUAAUUUUGAAGGUUUUAAGGAAUUUGGAGCUUAUAGAUAGCUUAAGGAGGUUCCCACGAGGCUAGGAGUGGUUCGUUGGAAGAAUUUGGACGUUGGAAUAACGAGAUCGGCGGGUUGCAGGUUUUGGCCGGAUUAUCAAUGAGAUUUCCGGCGAAUCUCGUAGGAUUUAGGUUCUAAAACUG